rnacentral:rRNA from 1 species
CCUAAUGCAUGCAAAUCGCACGGAGCUUCGGCUCAGUGGCGGACGGGUGAGUAACACGUAGGAACCUGCCCGGAAGUGGGGGAUAACUCCUCGAAAGAGGAGCUAAUACUGCAUACGGUCUACGGACCAAAGCAGCAAUGCGCUUCUGGAGGGGCCUGCGGUGGAUUAGCUAGUUGGUGGGGUAAUGGCCUACCAAGGCAACGAUCCAUAACUGGUCUGAGAGGACGGCCAGUCACACUGGGACUGAGACACGGCCCAGACUCC